UUUAUACUGUGAAACUGCGAAUGGCUCAUUAAAUCAGUUAUCGUUUAUUUGAUAGUACCUUACUACAUGGAUACCUGUGGUAAUUCUAGAGCUAAUACAUGCUAAAAACCCCGACUUCAGGAAGGGGUGUAUUUAUUAGAUAAAAAACCAACGCCCUUCGGGGCUCCUUGGUGAAUCAUAAUAACUUAACGAAUCGCAUGGCCUUGCGCCGGCGAUGGUUCAUUCAAAUUUCUGCCCUAUCAACUUUCGAUGGUAGGAUAGUGGCCUACCAUGGUGGCAACGGGUAACGGGGAAUUAGGGUUCGAUUCCGGAGAGGGAGCCUGAGAAACGGCUACCACAUCCAAGGAAGGCAGCAGGCGCGCAAAUUACCCAAUCCCGAUACGGGGAGGUAGUGACAAUAAAUACUGAUACGGGGCUCUUUCGGGUCUCGUAAUUGGAAUGAGAACAAUUUAAAUCCCUUAACGAGGAACAAUUGGAGGGCAAGUCUGGUGCCAGCAGCCGCGGUAAUUCCAGCUCCAAUAGCGUAUAUUAAAGUUGUUGCAGUUAAAAAGCUCGUAGUUGAACCUUGGGUCUGGCUGGCCGGUCCGCCUCACCGCGAGUACUGGUCCGGCUGGACCUUUCCUUCUGGGGAACCUCAUGGCCUUCACUGGCUGUGGGGGGAACCAGGACUUUUACUGUGAAAAAAUUAGAGUGUUCAAAGCAGGCCUUUGCUCGAAUACAUUAGCAUGGAAUAAUAGAAUAGGACGUGCGGUUCUAUUUUGUUGGUUUCUAGGACCGCCGUAAUGAUUAAUAGGGAUAGUCGGGGGCGUCAGUAUUCCGCUGUCAGAGGUGAAAUUCUUGGAUUUGCGGAAGACUAACUACUGCGAAAGCAUUCGCCAAGGAUGUUUUCAUUAAUCAGGGAACGAAAGUUAGGGGAUCGAAGACGAUCAGAUACCGUCGUAGUCUUAACCAUAAACUAUGCCGACUAGGGAUCGGACGGGAUUCUAUGAUGACCCGUUCGGCACCUUACGAGAAAUCAAAGU
rnacentral:rRNA from 1 species